UGAAGACAAUCCAUGGCCUUUCAAAAGGUGAAAAUUCAAAUUUGAUGACAAUUCCGAUAUUUUGCAAAAACAAUUCAUUAAGUGGUGUCUUGAAGAUUCUAAAAUGGUGUCCAUGUUGUUCGGGAUAUAUUCUCCGUGUCCCUCAUCUUCAGAAUAGUUCUCAAUUAAUUAAGUUCUCGCUUGCUAAAGACUUUGUAUUUGUUUGUUCUUCUUCUCUGAUUUUUUAAUUUUGAUGGUUUUAGUUGAAGAGCGAAGCUGUUUUGCUUGCUGAUGCUUUAGCUCCACCGGAUUUUGUUCUCAACUCUCCCAUAGGCCUGAGUAACGGUCAGGCACACAAGAACCUGUAUGAGGCAAUCAUGUCAGACCCCGACAGCACUAAACGUAUAUCAUGGUGGAAAGAAUGCAGAAAAAUUCCUGUUCAAAAAUCAAUGAGCAAACUGUGAUGGACGCUGAUAUUCUACAUCUACCAUAGAAGCUACCAUAUAACCUUGUAUUGUGCUACUUCAGGUAUGGCUUCAAUAGAAAUCAACUUUUUCUUCUUGGAUGUGGUUGCAAUAAAAGCAACCUCUCUUUGGCUAUGAUGCCUCUACUAAGCGGAUUUGUCCGCUAGAUCUCUACUAAUCUACACAGAUAUAACAGAUAUGAAAAGAAAUAUUGUUCAGUCUGGCUAGGCUAACUAAAGAUGGGUGUGGUUGCAAGAAAGGCAACCUCUCUUAUGCUAGGCCAUCUACGAAGUGGAUUUGUUCGAUAUACUCCUCUUUUAGCAGUCGAUAUCAUAUAUAAUAGAUGAUGAACCUCUCGUACGCCAGCACCACUCACGAUAUAAUUAUGUAAAUCUCAUUUUAUUUUUUAAGUGUAAACAUUUUUGGUCAAUUCACUUGUAUAUCUUAGUGCUAAAAUAACAUUUUUGGAAAUUUAUCGGCAAAGUUUAAAUUCUCUUGAUUCAGAGGUAACAGUGUUAAUACUGAUAAUGAUAGUAAGCUAGGUAAAACACACCCAUGAGGCCUACGUAACACUGUGUAUAUUUUGUGUUAAUCGUUAUUGUAAUUGCUACUUUGUGAAUUUCAAAUGAGUGCAUUAGGAAAGAAAGCCCUAUAUCUAAAAAUAAACGAGAAAAUGAAUUAGGCGAAUGGAAGAAACACUAAAAGGGCCGGGGGGGGGAAAGAGCCGGGUUUUCAGUUGAAUGGGAAUGAAAAUUGGAAUUAAGAACCUGAAUGAUCCGGGAUAAUAGCUCUAAAACAGCAUAAAUCAUAAAUAAUAAAAACAAUAAAUAAUGACACAAAUUAAAAGCGUUAGUCUAAAACUAAUUUACAUCAUACUAUUUGUAACUUGGAGUAGCAGAAACGACAACACUAUAUAACCUUAUUUAACAAUCAUUUUAAAUGAAAUAGGACGUUUGCAUGAUGACUUCAUUGACCUCUACUACCAGACUCCCUUGCACACUUUCUUUUAUUCAGUUAGUUCGCGCCAAUUGCCUUACUACUUUCAAUUCAAAUUAGGUAAUAAAAAUUUAAAUAAGAAAGAAAGUUCGCCAAACAUUAUGGUAGUAGGAGUCAAAUGAUGCCAUCAUGCAAACGUCCUGUUGAAUAUAAAAACAAAACACAAAUAAACAGCUUUAAAAAUCA